rnacentral:sRNA from 1 species
GGAGCCCAGGUUUUGCUCGAGGGCAGCGAGUGAAGCAGGCUGUAACAGAGAAACCUCGGGCUCCUCUUUAAAAGUCCCCAGAGGAGGUAGAUCUGAGGAAGGGCUGCGGAGAAGGUGCCUGCAGCAAUGUCAGCUCAGAACAGCCGGCUGACAGGAUGCUGAGCAGGGAUUAAGGUCGGGAUCAGGGAAGCCGGGGAAUGAAGCCCGGUUCCCUGUCUCCCUUGUUGCUGCCACUACCGUCGCCUCUGGGAAAUAAAGAAAGAACCGGGCCCUUGUGAGACCCUCCGGGUGGAUGAAGCAAAAGCCACCUUCAGAAAGAGAGACAGACAGCUUAGUCUUGGUGUCAAGUCUGAUCCCAGCACUGGAGGAGAGUGUGGGAAAAGCAGGAGGCAAAGAUCAUCUUCAGGUCAUUCCGGACUCCUGAUGCCGCCAGUCCCUCAGUGAGACGUGAGCGCCAUUGGCGUCCGUGGCCUCUGUUUCCGUGGCAACCCAGUAACCAUUAAUUUUCAAUUAAAGGAGACAAAAAGCUGGAUGACAGCUCUGGGUCUGCUGAAGAUGUCAAGAAUCUGUAUUAAUAUACAGCAAGAGAGCAUAAUUGUGUGUCCAUCUUCCAGAGCGGUGAAAAAUGGGGGGAUAAUUACCGGCUCGAAAGCCACUCUGUAAUUUAGUUCUUACUGUCACCACAGCCCUACACAUUAGCAUAAAUUAAAAGCAGGGUUUAUUGUUA